GAUGAACGCUGACAGAAUGCUUAACACAUGCAAGUCGACUCGAGUCUUCGGACUUGGGUGGCGCACGAGUGAGUAACGCGUAAAGAACUUGCCUCUUAGACCGGGACAACAUCUGGAAACGGAUGCUAAUACCGGAUAUUAUGGUUUUUUCGCAUGGAGGAAUCAUGAAAGCUAGAUGCGCUAAGAGAGAGCUUUGCGUCCCAUUAGCUAGUUGGUGAGGUAACGGCCCACCAAGGCAAUGAUGGGUAGCCGGCCUGAGAGGGUGAACGGCCACAAGGGGACUGAGACACGGCCCUUACUCCUACGGGAGGCAGCAGUGGGGAAUAUUGGACAAUGGACCACAAGUCUGAUCCAGCAAUUCUGUGUGCACGAUGACGUUUUUCGGAAUGUAAAGUGCUUUCAGUCGGGAAGAAGUCAGUGACGGUACCGACAGAAGAAGCGACGGCUAAAUACGUGCCAGCAGCCGCGGUAAUACGUAUAUCGCAAGCGUUAUCCGGAUUUAUUGGGCGUAAAGCGCGUCUAGGCGGCAAGGAAAGUCUGAUGUGAAAAUGCGGAGCUCAACUCCGUAUGGCGUUGGAAACUGCCUUACUAGAGUACUGGAGAGGUAGGCGGGACUACAAGUGUAGAGGUGAAAUUCGUAGAUAUUUGUAGGAAUGCCGAUGGGGAAGCCAGCCUACUGGACAGAUACUGACGCUAAGCGCGAAAGCGUGGGUAGCAAACAGG
rnacentral:rRNA from 1 species